rnacentral:ribozyme from 1 species
UUGUGUUGCCGUUGAUACCCGCGCCCAUGUCGUCUGUGUGACAGAGAGUCAUCUUGAUCGUGAUGAUUCGAUUGAUGACAUUUCGAUACCAGAAGGGUACUAUGUAGCUGCUCGAA